ACGACCUUACUUGAACAGAAUUUGUUCUAUAGGCUCGUACUUAUGUACCUUUGAUUUCUAAGGAGAUAGGAAACCAUGUCUGGUGGAUGAAUCGUGGCUGCCUUGCAGAGUGUGAUUAACAACGCCUAUGUCAGGUUUCUUUCUGGCCGCGGUGUGGUAGACUAUCAUUCCUGGUUUGACUUUGGUCCCACUUGGAUGGCUAGUCAACUAUCUAACAGACU